GUGAUGAAAUUAAAGAAUAUAGCUGGAAUUACCGGCAGAAUAUUUUUUGGUGAAGACUACUUUUCUGA